rnacentral:rRNA from 1 species
CGCGUAUGCAACCUGCCUAUUACAGGGGAGUAGCCCGGACGAAAUACCGGAUUAAUACCCACUAGUUCCAUAUUGUCACCUGACAAUAAGGAUAAAGUUUCGAUGGUAAUAGAUGGGCAUGCGUGACAUUAGCUAGUUGGUAAGGUAACUGCUUACCAAGGCGACGAUGUCUAGGGGUCUGAGAGGAUUAUCCCCCACACUGGUACUGAGACACGGACCAGACUCCUACGGGAGGCAGCAGUGAGGAAUAUUGGUCAAUGGGCGAAAGCCUGAACCAGCCAUCCCGCGUGCAGGAAGACAGCCC